rnacentral:rRNA from 1 species
CCUACGGGAGGCAGCAGUAAGGAAUAUUGGUCAAUGGAGGCAACUCUGAACCAGCCAUGCCGCGUGCAGGAAGACAGCCCUCUGGGUCGUAAACUGCUUUUAUUCGGGAAUAAACCUUAUUACGUGUAAUAAGCUGAAUGUACCGAAGGAAUAAGGAUCGGCUAACUCCGUGCCAGCAGCCGCGGUAAUACGGAGGAUCCAAGCGUUAUCCGGAUUUAUUGGGUUUAAAGGGUGCGUAGGCGGCUUAUUAAGUCAGGGGUGAAAGACGGUGGCUCAACCAUCGCAGUGCCUUUGAUACUGAUGAGCUUGAAUGAACUAGAGGUAGGCGGAAUGUGACAAGUAGCGGUGAAAUGCAUAGAUAUGUCACAGAACACCGAUUGCGAAGGCAGCUUACUAUGGUUUUAUUGACGCUGAGGCACGAAAGCGUGGGGAUCAAACAGGAUUAGAUACCCUGGUAGUCCACGCCCUAAACGAUGAAUACUCGCUGUUAGCGAUAUACAGUUAGCGGCUAAGCGAAAGCGUUAAGUAUUCCACCUGGGGAGUACGCCGCAAGGUGAACUUAAAGAGUAGUCGCGNGNGAGAGCGACGACGACGACGAGGAGGAGGAGG